AUACUACUUCCUCCGUUCGGAAUUACUUGUCACCAAAAUGGAUGUAUCUACAACUAAAAUACAUCUAGAUACAUUCAUUUCUUGGACGAGUAAUUCUGAAUGGAGGGAGUACUUG
rnacentral:pre_miRNA from 1 species